CUUAUUUAAAGCAGCUGCAGUAUCAUGGCUGCCUGUUUGUUGCCACAUGAACCCUCUGACGUCUAGUUUGGCUGAUUCCAAGGUUCCCUGUCUGGAGUGGCGUGAUGUAUUGUUCCUCACACAGCACCCUGUGUUAAGUGGUGCUAGUGUUCGGCUUUUGGUGGAGGCUGGGCACGCUGGUCUGGGUUCCUUCACUGAUUGUAGUGUUAAUGCCACUGGGGCCCCAUUUGGCAGUGAGCACAUGCGGUGGGUAAGCUGGUGCACCCCUGGAGCACACUCUUAGUUAGUGCCUCCCCACAGCUGGCCCUGGAGCCCACUCCGCUUUUUUGUUUGGUUCAAUAAGUAAUAACUGGGAGUGUGUUGUUAAAAAUAAAAGAACUUGUUUGCCAAACUUGUAAAACUUGUAAAAACUACUAUUCCAUUGUAAUUUGAUUAUUUAUUUGUAUUAUUCACCAUCCUCUUUUCAGGCGCUUCCAGCUACUGAUUAUUAAUAAAGAGCAUUUCCUGGGAUGGAAGUCCCCAGGUGGUGUCGGAUAGUUAGAUUCUGGUGGUGAUUCCUCUUUUAGCGCCGCCACGAGACUGGCAACUGUUGUGAAUUAUUUUGGAGCUUUAUAGCCUGAAUUGUUCUCAUUAAUUACUAGAGCGAUGGUGGUCUACACUGUCAUCAUGUAAAGUGUUAUUUUCUAGUGUAAAGUUAGAUCACAGUGUGAAAACUCUA